AUACAGGCCUGAGAGGGGAGAUCUAGCUAGAAAGAGGGUGGGUUUCUAGGGUGACUUACUCAUUGCACUUGGGAUAUGCUGACCUUUGUGAUUUCCCCAAGUUCAGGAAACAUGACUGCAUAAUUUGUGGUAGUUGGGGAUUGUGUUCCUGCUUUGUCCUGAA
ensembl:snRNA U1 U1 spliceosomal RNA